rnacentral:lncRNA from 1 species
GGAAAUCUAUGAAUUUUCAAUAGCAAGGAUUUUUGUCAUGGAUUCCUCAAAUCUCUUGUUUGGAUAAACUAUACAAAAUUCAUGGAUUCCUCGCAAUCAUUUCCAUAUCUAUUGUUUGGUAACAAAACUUGGUACAAUUCUCUCUCUACAUUUUUUUAUACUUUCUCUCUCUAAAACUCAAAAGUUGGGAUAGUGUAUCUAUAAAAAAUUUGAGAUAGUUUCUAUCUCUAAAAUUUGAUAUUGUUUCUCUCUCUUCCUCUCCCCCUCUCUCGAUCUCUAUCUCUCUCCUUUAUCUUGUUGCCAUCUCCCUCAUCUCUGCCACUCUUCGCUCUUAUCUCUUCCGCUCUUUGUCUUAACCUCUCUCUCUCUUUCAUACCCUCUUCUUCUUAUCCUUCUAAC